GAUGAACGCUGGCGGCGUGCCUAAUACAUGCAAGUCGAGCGAAGCGGGGACGGGUGAGUAACACGUGGAUAACCUCCUAUAAGACUGGGAUAACUUCGGGAAACCGGAGCUAAACCGGAAACUUAUAGAUGGAUCCGCGCUGCAUUAGCUAGUUGGUAAGUUAACGACUUACAAAGGCAACGAUGCAUAGCCGACCUGAGAGUGUGAGCGGCCACACUGGAACUGAGACACGGUCCAGACUCCUACGGGAGGCAGCAGUAGGGAAUCUGACGCAAUGGGCGAAAGCCUGACGGAGCAACGCCGCGUGAGUGAUGAAGGGCUUCGGAUCGUAAAACUCUGUUAUUAGGGAAGCGGUACCUAAUCAGAAAGCCACGGCUAACUACGUGCCAGCCGCCGCGGUAAUUC
rnacentral:rRNA from 1 species